GGACGAAGCAAUGCAGGGUCCAAAUCUUCUUUGUGAUUAGUGGUGAACACUAUUAUUCUCUCCUCCGCACAACUCGACCACAGCCCAUCAAAACAGUUUAGCAGAGACAACAGCGUGAACCUGACGUUCUUGGAAUGGGAUUCAGAAUUGUCUGAUUUUGAUCGACCAUGUACCCCUGAAUUACAAUCUAUGUCUUCAAUUACGAUUAUGGAUUUUCUAUCUACAUGUAACAUCGCACUUCUUAAAUCAGAAUCAGAACUAAUAUUUGCAAGCUCCAAAUCAU
rnacentral:misc_RNA from 1 species